AGAGUUUGAUUCUGGCUCAGAUUGAACGCUGGCGGAAUGCUUUACACAUGCAAGUCGAACGGCAGCACGGGAGCUUGCUCCUGGUGGCGAGUGGCGAACGGGUGAGUAAUGCGUCGGAACGUACCUUUCAGUGGGGGAUAACGUAGCGAAAGUUACGCUAAUACCGCAUAUUCUGUGAGCAGGAAAGCAGGGGAUCGCAAGACCUUGCGCUGAUUGAGCGGCCGAUAUCAGAUUAGCUAGUUGGUGAGGUAAAGGCUCACCAAGGCGACGAUCUGUAGCGGGUCUGAGAGGAUGAUCCGCCACACUGGAACUGAGACACGGUCCAGACUCCUACGGGAGGCAGCAGUGGGGAAUUUUGGACAAUGGGGGCAACCCUGAUCCAGCCAUGCCGCGUGAGUGAAGAAGGCCUUCGGGUUGUAAAGCUCUUUCAGCCGGGAAGAAAUCACAUGGGUUAAUACCCUGUGUGGAUGACGGUACCGGAAUAAGAAGCACCGGCUAACUACGUGCCAGCAGCCGCGGUAAUACGUAGGGUGCGAGCGUUAAUCGGAAUUACUGGGCGUAAAGCGUGCGCAGGCGGUUUGUUAAGAUAGGCGUGAAAUCCCCGGGCUCAACCUGGGAACUGCGUUUAUGACUGGCAGGCUAGAGUAUGGCAGAGGGGGGGUGGAAUUCCACGUGUAGCAGUGAAAUGCGUAGAGAUGUGGAGGAACACCGAUGGCGAAGGCAGCCCCCUGGGCCAAUACUGACGCUCAUGCACGAAAGCGUGGGUAGCAAACAGGAUUAGAUACCCUGGUAGUCCACGCCCUAAACGAUGUCAACUAGGUGUUGGGUGGGUAAAACCAUUUAGUACCGGAGCUAACGCGUGAAGUUGACCGCCUGGGGAGUACGGCCGCAAGGUUAAAACUCAAA
rnacentral:rRNA from 1 species